AGCGGCGCCGGAAGGGGCGGGCCUCCCGGCGGGUACCGCGGCCCGGCUGCUCGGCUGGGGGGCUGCGGAGCCCUGGCGCGGGGGGAGGGGCUGCGGCGGGAGGGUCCGUCGGUUCCGGGCCCCCGACCUCCAGCCAGGGACUCGCCGGUGCCCUCCGGCGUCGCUUGGGCCCGCCCCCCAGCCCAGGGCGGCGGCCUCCCCUCCUUCGCCUCCCGGGCGCUGCGGGCAGGAGGGCGAGGAGCAGCUCGGAGCGGAUCGAGGUGAAGGCGGCGCCCCGGGGCCCUGCACGCUUGGCCGACGAGGCCCUGUCGUUGGCGGGGGUGCAUCGUGCUGCCCGUCGGGGCCCCUUUCCUCGGCCUCGACACAGCUCGUGUUUGCUGGCAGGCGGGGGGCCCGGCGGACUGUUGGGGUGCAUGUGUGCCUUUGGGUCCAAACCCGCCUGUAAUGCAGGCUCCGCCUGAGACCCAGGCUUCUGAAGGCGGGGGGACGGGCCAGCUGAGUGGGGUUUCCAGGGACCCUGGCUGCGGGGCCACGCAGAGCUUGGAGUUCAGGAGGCCUGGCCCAGAGAGGAAGGGAGCUCCUCCGAAGUUGCCGCGGGCACAGCACCCCAGCCCUUGGGGCAGGUGGCUCGAGCGCCUACGGGCCUGUGGAGUGGGGGACCUCGGGUCCACUCCGUUUUUGACUGUUUUGUAACUUGGUGCUCUCUCUGCCGUCAAGCACCUGCCAGCUUGAGUUGGGCAGAGGAGACGAAGAUCCGGAGUGAUUCCUGAGCACCAGUUCGUGCUGGCUCUGGCCUUGUAGCUAGGGAUGCAGGGGUGAAAGAGCCGUGGUCCUUGCCCUCAGUGCCGGUCCCGGCAGGACGCUGGAGCGCAGAAGAAGCCCACGCACGCCCUCCAGUCGGGGGACGCCUUCAUACAAGUUCUUGGUUUUCCUCGGUUUACUACCGAAACUAGACACCAGCCUCUGACUCCAGUGUACUUGCCUGGUGCGGUGAUCCUCUGCCCUCCCCAGCAGAGCCCCCCCCCCCCCCAUUUCUGCAUGCUCCUCGGCCCAGAUGAGCUUCCUUUACCCUCGGUUCAGGCUCCCACCUGAUGCUGAGAGCAGCCUCCUCCCAGAACCUGCCUCAAGUAGAGCCUUCCGGGCAACAUAGGCCUGAAUCCAGACCAAGUGUACCUAACCAUUUUUAUUUAGAAGAAGCCAGACUCAAAUUCCUUGUCAGGAUGGGAAAUCUCGACAGUCAUUUUAUUAUUGCCUCUGCAUAGGGGAGAAGAGGAAAGCUGAAGUGUACCCUUUUGACUUUAAGAGAGUUCAAAGUAUUUAUACCUUAAAGCCACUUGGGGGUGCCUGGCUGGCUCAGUCCGUGGAGCCUGCGACUUGAUCUUGGGGUCUUGAGUUCAAGCCCCAAGCUGGGCAUAGAGCUUACUUAAAACAAAGAAAGCUACAGUGUUGUCAGGUACAAAAGUCAAAGACACACAGAUUAAAAUGUUGAUGGUAAAUAAAUGGGAUGGAAAAGAAAAUUCAAAAAAAAAUACAUCACUGGGAAUAUUACCACCUAGGGCAUCACAUUUUGGGGUGGGACAGCCUGUCAGGGUUAUGGGCCUCCUAGUAGAUCAGGGUAGCCGUCACAGGCCACGAGAUACCUUUGCUAAGAACGCUGUUUGCAGGGAAUGUUGGAGGAUCAGAACAGGACCUGCCUUUGGAGUUUUCUCUUUAAAAAAAGAAGGCUUCUCAGUGUUGUGGAGAUCUCCCUCACUAGCAGUUAGAGUCUGAAGUUGCUCCAGGCUUGAUGCUGGAAUUCCAUUAGUUAGCAGUGAGAGAAGACGAGGGCAAGGAAGCUCAGGAAUAAUACAGAAACGAAAUAGAAGAGGGAUCUCAACAAAGAACUAGGAGCUGUGUGGGCGAUGCUCCUACAGACACCGGGGACUGUUGGGUCCUGUUUGAAUUUGUGGCUGAAUUGGGUGCUGUUAGGUGGAGUUAGGGACAGGGAACAUCAGGUGUUUCAGAGGGUGUACACAAGAUCUAGUUGAUGGAGGAGUUGGCUUUGGUUAAGGGCCCCAGGGAAGACUAGAGCUUGGUUAGGGAACAGGGAGUGGGGGCAGUGUUUGGUGAGUCAGGGAGGCCUCCCUGAGAAGGGCCCAUUCAGAGCUCUGAAGUGAGCGGCCAGCCCCAUGAACACCUGCUCUUGGCCCAUUUCUGGAAUCAGCCAGGCACUGAGGCAGGAAGGACUGGGUAUGUUUGAGGAGCCUAAAGGAAGCUGGAGGGGAGUGAGGAGUGGGCCAGGUCAGGCAUGUAUAGGGCUCAUAAGUAUGAGGGGAGCCACUGGGGGUCGGGGCAGGUACAUGAUAGGGGUUUGCUGGCGGCCAUAUGGAGGUGGACCAUUGGAGGAGGGCUGGGGCGCCCCGAGUUUGAUCCAUCUCCGAUCCAGGCUCUAGGUGACAGGAGCAUAACCCCCAAAGGGGCACAUGUGGGUCCUGCUGCUCCCAAAUACAGCAAGUGGAGAAGGAGGGAGAAAAUGGUGGGGGGAGAACCCCAAUGUGGGGACCACACGGAGUUUUGGUCCAUGGUCUGUAUCAGACCCCACUGGACACAGGCCUGGAGACCCCAUCCCCGGGCAGAGGGUUAGAGCGAGUGUUCCGUUUGGUCACAUCCAAACAGAACAGGCUGUUUGUUGAGCCUCACUGAGAGGCUCAUGAGGUGCCCAAGGGGAGCACACAAGCAGGGAAGGGGCCACGUUCCCUGUCCCCCCCGCCAUCCGUCCCUUAGCCGCUGCACCACAGCUCUGUUCCUCCCGCAUACCUGUGUGAUCUAACCUUCAUGGUCUGGCUUCUCCGGCAGCACGAGGAUUGGUGGUGUCCUCUCUGGUGCAGACUUCCUGCUCCGGAGGUCUCGUUACAAGCUCAGAAAAAUGAAGAGCUGUGACUAAAGGGAGAGCUUUUGGAAGAAUAGGAGAGUCUGGCCCCUGGCCUUUCUCCUUAGCCCUUCCUGGAUUCCAGUGGCCCUUCCUCUCUCCUGGGAACAAAGAAAGAUGGAAAAGCCCACGGGCAAAAAGAAGGCACAGACCCCAAAGGAAGAAGGAGAUUUGCUAAAGGACACUCCCAAAGGAGAGAAAGCAUCUGGGGAGAAAAAGGCAAACAAGAGGUCCACUUUGGCGAAAAAGUACAGCAAGGAAGCCAGCCUGAGUCCUGAAGAAGAACACGUAUUUGAUGCCUUUGAUGCUUCGUUUAAAGAUGACUUUGAGGGGGUUCCCGUGUUCAUUCCUUUUCAGAGAAAGAAGCCCUAUGAGUGCGGCGAGUGUGGACGCAUCUUCAAGCACAAGACAGACCAUCUUCGCCACCAGAGGGUUCACACGGGAGAGAAACCCUUCAAGUGUGAGGAGUGUGGGAAGAUGUUCAGGCACAGCUCCGAUGUCCCCAAACACCAGAGAAUCCACACUGGAGAGAAGCCCUUUAAAUGCAGCGAGUGCGGGAAGGCCUUUAACUGCAGCUCCAAUCUCCUAAAACAUCAGAAGACGCACACUGGAGAGAAGCCGUAUGAGUGCAAGGAAUGUGGGAAAACCUUUGCCUACAGCUCAUGUCUCAUUCGCCAUCGGAAGUGCCACCCACGGAAGAAGCACUGAGCGCGGGGAAGCUAUCUGCCGAGACGCGGUGUUUGUGCUGAUGGGAGCUGUCCCUCCUUCAGCAUCUGAUCGAUGCUGGGGGUCCGUGAGCUCAGCGCACCUGUGCCCGGGCAUCCCCCUCAUCAUCAGGAAAAUCAACCCAGUGGGGUAAGCAAGUGCUUGAGCGUGGUAAAGACCUUUCUGGUCCAGAGCAUCUCUGGAUCAAGACACCAUGAUAAUGGGGGAGGGGCUUGCGGCACGGGAGACUCUGGGGAUAUCGACAGUGCCUGUGGGGCUCGCGAGGCAGCAGCUGCUUGUGAGCGGCCCAGCGCCUCCCUCUGCGGCCUCCGCCUGUGGUGUCCACUGUGGUUUCAGCCCUCUCACCUGCUCCUUUGAAGACUUGAGUCUGCAGACUCUUGACCUGCCGGGUCAUCCCUGCACAGCCUGGCAGGAGGCCCACGGCCCUGAGCUAGGUAGCGGUACUCUGCGGUCGCGCCCCCAGCGCUGCGCUAGACACCUGCUGUCCCCACUCGGCUGGCCAUGGUGACAGUGGUUUGUGCUCUGGCGUCCCUCCUCGGGCUGCGGUGCCACCGCCAUCCCCCACCCCAUCCCCAGGAACUGCACCCUUUGUGCAUCCCCCUGGCCUAGCCCCCAUCCCAGGUGAGCGGCCUGACUCACCCAGGUGGAUCGCUCGGGACCUACAUACUGCCACCGUGGGAGAGUCCCGCCCUGGACAUGUGGUGGAGGCCCCAAGGAUGUGAGCACAGCUUCGAGCCAGGCUGCAUCUGCCAUGGGGGUCUUCAGACAUGAGGCAGUGCGCCCUGCCCCCCUGGGGAUCGGCUCUCCAGGUUAGUUUCACUUCCUCAUGCCUGGCCCCCAAGUUCCAUCUUAUCCCCCGGGCAAGGCCACAUGCUAUGCCCAGCCCUGGUUUCCCCCGGGAGUGGUCUGGAUGGGGCCCCGUGCUCUCAGAGUGGUGUGGUGUGUCCCAGAACUUCCCACAGUGUGAGGGGGGCCCGGUGACCGUCAACCAGGAGGUAAUGGGGCUUUGUACUAGGAAAAUGUUGAUGCCUACACUUUCAGCUCUUUGGACCCCCAAGAUAGCUUUACUCUUUGGGGAUUCCGUCCUGCAAGAAGGUCCUGAAUCGGGGGGAGACCCGUUUCGCCAUCGGGGGUCACAGACGCCAGAGGGCAGAGGCUCCCGGUGGAAAUGCUUCUCCAGGUUGGCAAGUGUUCGCUCCUGUUCUUUCUAAAAGCUGUGAUGUUAUGACACCUGAGCUGGACACCCCGCCCCCUCUCCCCAGCGCAGCGGGCCCUCCUACCUGAUGCAGCUCGCCCUAGGUGUGGCAGGAGAUCCAGGGGGACGCACAGUGGAUGGUUAAGGACGUUACUGGGACAUUCGGCAAACCUCGUGUCCACACUGUCCACUGGGUGGCAGAGCCGCAUCAGUUUCCAAGUUCCUGCUUGGCUUGCGGCCCCCCGGCCAUCCCAGACCUCGUCCUUGUCAAAGAUGCUCCCUAAGGUUUUCAGGGACACAGGAUCAUGAUGUCUGCAUUUUACCGUCAAAUGUUCAGCAGAGAAACAGAGUAACAAGACGUGUAUCCGCACUGAGUGAUGAAGCAAAUUGAACCCCGAGUCAGGCUGGCAGACGUUUUCUGUAAAGGGCCAGAUAGUAGCUGUUCUUGGCCCUGUGGCCCUAAGGCCUCUGUCCCCGCUCAGCUCCGCUGUGACAUGCAACAGUAGUGAACACAGUGAAUGAGCGCGGCCGUGUGCCAGCAGAGCUGUGUUUACAGAGACCAGCGGCGGCCGUGUUGGGCCUGUUGUAGGUGGAGGGCGCGUGAGAGUCAGCCUGACCCAUGUGCGCUCGAGUCCUCCAGGACUGGCUGCGCGGGGGGAAGCCAGUGCAGGAAGCCGCAGGAAACCCUGGGAGGGCUGCAGAGGGGCUCCGAGCAGCGAGCCCUGGUGCCCACCUUGGGUGCCGGAGCGCAGGCUGUGGACCCGGCACGCACGUCCAGGGGUGUCUGCGUCCUCUUCGGCGUGGUUUCGUUUGUCUUUACUGCGGCCUUCUGACACACCAGGACGCGUGUGUUCCCGUGCAGCGUCCGCCGUGAGAUCUGUAUCACGUGUUACAGCCCGUUUCCCCGUUCCCACAGCGGCAGGCAUGGUCUCCACCGCCGCCUACAGGUGCGGUGAGCAGAGGCUCACCGUGUCCUAAUGGGCGUGUGGGCUGUUUCUGGUUUCGGGCGCUAUAAAUAAUGCUGAGAUAAAUACCUUUUCUGCAUUUCGGGCUGACAGGAUGGGUCCCCAGACACGGAAUGCCAGGUGGAGAUCCUCGGGGCUGUGCGGGCUGGGCGCCCCAGCGGCACACGGACGGCAGGCUUGCCCUGGCCUCUCCGGCAGCAGGCAGUUUACCGUCAUGAGAAGAAUCACAAAAUCAAACUGAAAUCAGUGAGUGGCCUUUUCUGCCUCCCGUCGCUCAGGCAGCUUUGAGGGGUUUCUGUUGUUCUUCAAAUAAAACUCCUGUUCUAGGAAAAAAAAAAAAAACCUUCUCAAUAACCUGACUCAAAUUAAAAAAAAAAAAAAAACCUGAUGAGAGCUAUAAAACACUCAGACCUCACUGACACUGAAAAUAGGACUCGUCAGAGCUUCUCUGGGCCACUGAAGCCCACACGGGACGUGUAGCCCUAAGAGCUUUGGUCCCGUCAGCGGACGAGCUAGAAAUCAGAAGCUGAGCCUCCGGCUUCAAAGUUAUAAAAACAAUAGCGUAACAAACGCAAAGUGGCAGAGAGGAAAUAACAAAGAGCAGAGAGGAGCACAACCAGUGGGAAUGGAGGCUGUCUCAGGCAGGAAAGCGGUGGACAUUGGUUGUUCACAAGGACUGUUCAGGCUGACAUCGCCCAGCAGCAGCGUCCAGGAAAAGAGCAGGAGCCACCGAACCAUCACGAAUGCAAAGGGGAUGUGACAGCAGGUACGUCAGAGAUCAGAAGAGACAAAACUCGGAGCCAGGGAACGUGAGCACAGAUGAGGUAGGGAAGCCGGCCCGAGACCCCGUGCCCGCCGCACAGAGUGUGUCUGGAGUCUAGAGUCUUCCCCAAAGAAUGCAAGUCCAGGUGGCGCACAAGUGAGUUCAAGAACCCAUUCCGGUCCCCUACGGACUCAGAGAUUGAAAAGAGGAAACACCUCACCUUAUUUUAUGAGCUGGGACAGCCAGGAUGUCCGUGCUCUCGGCUGCAGAGGCUCCGAGCACGGGGCGGGCAAACCCCGUCCCGCAGGGCAGGAGCGGAGCGCGGACCGCGGCCAGAUGAGGCCUCUUUCAGGAAGGCCAGUUUGGCUCAAAACUGAUGUGAUUUCUCACAUCAACAGAUUGGGGGAGGGGCAUAUUAUCAUCUGAAUAGUUACCUGUGUGCCAGAUUGCACCAUCCACUCAUGAUAACAGACCUUCAUAAAUCAGGAAUAUAACAGAACUGUCUAAACCCCUACAGAACAUCUCCCAGCACGCUGAGCAGCACUGCGGCCGAGGGUCCCGUGUAGCUGGUGUCCCCUCCGCCCGCAGAGCACAAGAGGGCCGGCCUCACAGCUCCCCCUGCGCCCAGAGCCAGACCAGGAGGAAGACACACGUAGGAUUACGGUGGAAAACCCUGAGUGUGUUUCUCAGCAGGUGGUCCCACCGUCUAUGCAGAAUCUGAACACUGUCAGCAAGCACUGAAAUGUAAGGGCUGAGCAAGGUGUCGCGAGAGGGUCAGGGUCAGGAUCCCCGGAGGCCCAGGUGCAGAAGGGGAAGCAGGGGCUCAUCAGGGAAGGUUUGUAGUGGGCACUCGCGGUGGCCGUCAUGGAUGCAGCUCAAGUGUCCCUCACCAGACGAACAGACACAGGACACGUGGCGCUGCCAGACUCGGGCACCGCCGCCAGCCCUGAGGGAGUGAAGACCCAGGCUGCGACCCGCACGAGCCUGAGCCUCCGAAGCCCGGGGCUGAGCGCCAGAAGCCGGCCGGGGACACUGCUGUGUGACCCGUUCGCGGGAGGGGCCGUGGCAGGGGAGUUUAACGAGGGCAGGGUUGCUGCUGGGAAUGGUAAGAAGGCUCUGGGGGUAGGGCGUGGGGAUGGGUACGUAGCGUGGUGAGUAUUUAAUGCUGCUAAUUGUACACAAGCAGUUAAAAUAAUAAACACCAUGUAUAUUUCCCCACAGUGAAAAAAGUCCAUUGAAUUUGUUGUGCUGUUAACAAAAUGCAGUUUUAAAAAGCUAUCAAUUCACUUUAGCAACAAAAAUAGCAUUUCCUAGCAAGUUAAAGAUGUGCCAUACCGUGCUAGCCCAGAAAUUUCACUCAUUAAAAUACUGUAGUGAGCUCUUUUACAUGCGCAGUAAUAUAGUGCAUGUGGAGUGUCAGAAAAAUUGGAAAUAACCCAAAUGUGCAUCAACAGUGAAGUGGGGCGGAGGGAGAGAGGAGCCCGGCCCCCCUUGGGCGGAGGGCAGGCAGGCGGGUGUCUGGGUCUUAAACCGCAUGGACCGUGAGCGGGGCUUUGAGCUGCUCAUGCAUCACAUCAUAUUCACCCAAGGUUUACAUGCAUUUGAAAUGUUACAUUUUCUAACUUUCUGAACUUUUGGGGGACAUGAGCACUUUCCCCCUGGUUCUGUUGCCGUCCAAGUCUGGGGUGCAUGGCUCGAACCCCUGCUGCCAG